GUGGAGCACCGACGAGGACCUUGGUCUCACGUGUCCCCUGGGUCCUGGACACUCCGCCAGGUGUCCGUGCGCGGCCGUGGCCUACCAGCUGUUCGCCCCACCUGGCGACCACCACUUCCAGCUGGAUGCCGUCACAGGCUUCCUCACCAGGAACACCAGCAUGUCUCUGGAGGAUGGCAAGACGUACACAUACAAGAUCAUGGUUCAGAGUAUCCCCGUAGCAGGCCAGUCAAAGGACCUCCUCUUCGACCUCAUGGACCUGAAGAUCUACGUGAGUCCUAAUUUCAUCAUGAAGAUUCCCUGGAGUUAACUGGUUCAGGGAACGAAAUUACAAGUCCGCGUGUGAGAGAGAAAGCGAGGGAAAAAGAGGCCACAUUUCAACCUCCAGCGACAGUGCCCCGCCCCGAGUGCCAGCCCUUAUAGGCGGGUUGGCACAGACCAAGACGGAGAGCCCACACCGAAGCCUGCAUCUCACGUGUUUCACUUUUUUCGGGAGACCGAGACGCUCCCAAACCUGAUAAACGCAAGAGCGGCUGGUUUUCGGACUGCAGUGAAGGGCAGAGUAAUAGGUGACAUUUCCACAAGCUGAAAAAUAUUUUCUAAGUUUCCAUGAGAGCUGAACAGUGUUCGUUUUUUUUGUGCAAAGCUCUCGGUCACUGUGGAUUCCAGUGUCCAUUGUGUAUAAUGUUUUGAUACGUGGAAAAGAACAAAAAAAAUAUACGUUUCUAGAAUUAUAGAGAAAAUGUCAUUAGUGAAAUAGAAUAGUAAACAUAUCAUGAGCAUUAAGUGUUGGUCUAGUCAUGAUUAAAAUAAACCAUUAUGAUUUCAAAAGAAGGCGAAAGCAUAGAGGAGUAAGUUUA